UACAUGGGGUGCAAACGUUGCUCGGAAUUAUUGGGCGUAAAGCGCGCGUAGGCGGUUACUUAAGUCGGAUGUGAAAGCCCUCGGCUUAACUGAGGAAGUGCACCCGAAACUGAGUAGCUAGAGUACGAAAGAGGGUCGCGGAAUUCCCGGUGUAGAGGUGAAAUUCGUAGAUAUCGGGAGGAACACCGGUGGCGAAGGCGGUUACCUGGAGCUUUGCUGACGCUGAUGCGCGAAAGCGUGGGGAGCGAUCCGG
rnacentral:rRNA from 1 species